CCUACGGGAGGCAGCAGUGGGGAAUCUUAGACAAUGAGCGCAAGCCUGAUCUAGCGAUGCCGCGUGAGUGAAGAAGGCCCUAGGGUCGUAAAGCUCUUUCGCCAGGGAUGAUAAUGACAGUACCUGGUAAAGAAGUUCCGGCUAACUCCGUGCCAGCAGCCGCGGUAAU
rnacentral:rRNA from 1 species